AGGCCUACGGGUGGCAGCAGUCUAGAGGCUUCGGCAAUGGGGGAAACCCUGACCGAGCGACGCCGCGUGUGGGACGAAGGUCUUACGAUUGUAAACCACUGUCAGCGGGGAAGAAUGCCUGUAUGUGCAAUACGGGAGUGACGGUACCCGCGGAGGAAGCCCCGGCUAACUACGUGCCAGCAGCCGCGGUAAUACGUAGGGGGCGAGCGUUGUUCGGAUUCACUGGGCGUAAAGCGUGCGUAGGCGGUUUGGCAAGUCCGGCGUGAAAUCUCCACGGCUUAACAGGGAGAAGCCGUUGGAAACUGCCAGGCUAGAGGGUGGGAGAGGAAAGUGGAAUUCCAGGUGUAGCGGUGGAAUGCGCAGAUAUCUGGAAGAACACCAGUGGCGAAGGCGGCUUUCUGGACCACUCCUGACGCUGAGGCACGAAAGCCAGGGGAGCAAACGGGAUUAGAUACCCGAGUAGUC
rnacentral:rRNA from 1 species